GAUGAACGCUAGCGGCAGGCCUAAUACAUGCAAGUCGAACGGGAUUGGAGAGCUUGCUUUCCAUGAGAGCGGCGUACGGGUGCGUAAACGCGUAUGCAAACCUACCUUCAAUCAGGGGGAUAGCCCGAAGAAAUUCGGAUUAACACCGCAUAACAUUAUUGAAUGGCAUCAUUUAAUAAAUCAAAAUAUUUUAUAGGAUGAAAGAUGGGGCAUGCGUGUCAUUUAGCUAGUUGGCGAGGUAACGGCUCACCAAGGCGACGAUGACUAGGGGAUCUGAGAGGAUGACCCCCCACACUGGUACUGAGACACGGACCAGACUCCUACGGGAGGCAGCAGUAAGGAAUAUU
rnacentral:rRNA from 1 species